CACCGUUCCGCCGAAUCAACUCUUGCACUGGCCUCUCCGUCUCGUUCCGGGCUAGCACUGGAUUCAACAGUUCAGGACUGACUUCACACACUAGGCUCGUUGUGUUGGACUCGAUCACAGACCAAGAUCAAGACGCCAGUCGUCUCAACUGUACUUGACAGUACUCCGCACUGAACCGUCGUAAUGCUCCGUACAGAACCACACCGUUGAACUGUGCUGUAGUUGACCGUGUUCUGAUCCCUUGUCGUGAACCACUUUUCUCGACAUUGCUGUAUGACCUUUCUCAACCUUCUUGACUGUGACACCUCCGCUCUUAUAUAGGGUCCCUACUUGCCUUCUCGAACCGGACAGAACGCUGCUCGACGUUUGUAGGUGGUCAGAUGACUCUCGUGACGCUUCUGAGCUCUGUUCACGACGUCGAUCCUUCCCAAACCGUCGUGUUGACACUCGUCUCGCCUGACCGUCGUAACUCGUCACGGUUGGCCGCUCGUCUAGCGCUGGCCUGGGGCGAUUUGCGUCGACUGACUACACUCACACCACUACCCCCAACCA